GGACCAGGGGAAUCCGACUGUUUAAUUAAAACCAAGCAUCGCGAAUGCCCGAGGUGGGUAUUGACGUGAUAUGAUUUCUGCCCAGUGCUCUGAAUUCAAUGAAGUGCACUGGGCAGAAAUUCAAUGAAGCGCGGGUAAAUGCCGAGAGUAACAAUGACUCUCUUAAGGAGUCCUGAGCCUUAGUAAGGGAGAUAACGAGGUAGCC
rnacentral:ncRNA from 1 species